UACGUAGGGGGCAAGCGUUGUCCGGAUUUAUUGGGCGUAAAGAGCGUGUAGGCGGCCAAACAGGUCAGCUGUGAAAACUCGAGGCUCAACCUCGAGACGUCGGUUGAAACCGUUUGGCUAGAGGCCGGAAGAGGAGAGUGGAAUUCCCGGUGUAGCGGUGAAAUGCGCAGAUAUCGGGAAGAACACCCGUGGCGAAGGCGGCUCUCUGGGACGGUCCUGACGCUGAGACGCGAAAGCGUGGGGAGCGAACAGG
rnacentral:rRNA from 1 species